rnacentral:ncRNA from 16 species
CAGCAGCAAUUCAUGUUUUGAA